UUAAGCGACUAAGCGUACACGGUGGAUGCCCUGGCAGUCAGAGGCGAUGAAGGACGUGCUAAUCUGCGAUAAGCGUCGGUAAGGUGAUAUGAACCGUUAUAACCGGCGAUUUCCGAAUGGGGAAACCCAGUGUGAUUCGUCACACUAUCAUUAACUGAAUCCAUAGGUUAAUGAGGCGAACCGGGGGAACUGAAACAUCUAAGUACCCCGAGGAAAAGAAAUCAACCGAGAUUCCCCCAGUAGCGGCGAGCGAACGGGGAGCAGCCCAGAGCCUGAAUCAGUGUGUGUGUUAGUGGAAGCGUCUGGAAAGGCGCGCGAUACAGGGUGACAGCCCCGUACACAAAAAUGCACAUACUGUGAGCUCGAUGAGUAGGGCGGGACACGUGGUAUCCUGUCUGAAUAUGGGGGGACCAUCCUCCAAGGCUAAAUACUCCUGACUGACCGAUAGUGAACCAGUACCGUGAGGGAAAGGCGAAAAGAACCCCGGCGAGGGGAGUGAAAAAGAACCUGAAACCGUGUACGUACAAGCAGUGGGAGCACGCUUCGGCGUGUGACUGCGUACCUUUUGUAUAAUGGGUCAGCGACUUAUAUUCUGUAGCAAGGUUAACCGAAUAGGGGAGCCGAAGGGAAACCGAGUCUUAACUGGGCGUUAAGUUGCAGGGUAUAGACCCGAAACCCGGUGAUCUAGCCAUGGGCAGGUUGAAGGUUGGGUAACACUAACUGGAGGACCGAACCGACUAAUGUUGAAAAAUUAGCGGAUGACUUGUGGCUGGGGGUGAAAGGCCAAUCAAACCGGGAGAUAGCUGGUUCUCCCCGAAAGCUAUUUAGGUAGCGCCUCGUGAAUUCAUCUCCGGGGGUAGAGCACUGUUUCGGCAAGGGGGUCAUCCCGACUUACCAACCCGAUGCAAACUGCGAAUACCGGAGAAUGUUAUCACGGGAGACACACGGCGGGUGCUAACGUCCGUCGUGAAGAGGGAAACAACCCAGACCGCCAGCUAAGGUCCCAAAGUCAUGGUUAAGUGGGAAACGAUGUGGGAAGGCCCAGACAGCCAGGAUGUUGGCUUAGAAGCAGCCAUCAUUUAAAGAAAGCGUAAUAGCUCACUGGUCGAGUCGGCCUGCGCGGAAGAUGUAACGGGGCUAAACCAUGCACCGAAGCUGCGGCAGCGACACUAUGUGUUGUUGGGUAGGGGAGCGUUCUGUAAGCCUGUGAAGGUGUGCUGUGAGGCAUGCUGGAGGUAUCAGAAGUGCGAAUGCUGACAUAAGUAACGAUAAAGCGGGUGAAAAGCCCGCUCGCCGGAAGACCAAGGGUUCCUGUCCAACGUUAAUCGGGGCAGGGUGAGUCGACCCCUAAGGCGAGGCCGAAAGGCGUAGUCGAUGGGAAACAGGUUAAUAUUCCUGUACUUGGUGUUACUGCGAAGGGGGGACGGAGAAGGCUAUGUUGGCCGGGCGACGGUUGUCCCGGUUUAAGCGUGUAGGCUGGUUUUCCAGGCAAAUCCGGAAAAUCAAGGCUGAGGCGUGAUGACGAGGCACUACGGUGCUGAAGCAACAAAUGCCCUGCUUCCAGGAAAAGCCUCUAAGCAUCAGGUAACAUCAAAUCGUACCCCAAACCGACACAGGUGGUCAGGUAGAGAAUACCAAGGCGCUUGAGAGAACUCGGGUGAAGGAACUAGGCAAAAUGGUGCCGUAACUUCGGGAGAAGGCACGCUGAUAUGUAGGUGAAGCCACUUGCUCGUGGAGCUGAAAUCAGUCGAAGAUACCAGCUGGCUGCAACUGUUUAUUAAAAACACAGCACUGUGCAAACACGAAAGUGGACGUAUACGGUGUGACGCCUGCCCGGUGCCGGAAGGUUAAUUGAUGGGGUUAGCGGUAACGCGAAGCUCUUGAUCGAAGCCCCGGUAAACGGCGGCCGUAACUAUAACGGUCCUAAGGUAGCGAAAUUCCUUGUCGGGUAAGUUCCGACCUGCACGAAUGGCGUAAUGAUGGCCAGGCUGUCUCCACCCGAGACUCAGUGAAAUUGAACUCGCUGUGAAGAUGCAGUGUACCCGCGGCAAGACGGAAAGACCCCGUGAACCUUUACUAUAGCUUGACACUGAACAUUGAGCCUUGAUGUGUAGGAUAGGUGGGAGGCUUUGAAGUGUGGACGCCAGUCUGCAUGGAGCCGACCUUGAAAUACCACCCUUUAAUGUUUGAUGUUCUAACGUUGACCCGUUAUCCGGGUUGCGGACAGUGUCUGGUGGGUAGUUUGACUGGGGCGGUCUCCUCCUAAAGAGUAACGGAGGAGCACGAAGGUUGGCUAAUCCUGGUCGGACAUCAGGAGGUUAGUGCAAUGGCAUAAGCCAGCUUGACUGCGAGCGUGACGGCGCGAGCAGGUGCGAAAGCAGGUCAUAGUGAUCCGGUGGUUCUGAAUGGAAGGGCCAUCGCUCAACGGAUAAAAGGUACUCCGGGGAUAACAGGCUGAUACCGCCCAAGAGUUCAUAUCGACGGCGGUGUUUGGCACCUCGAUGUCGGCUCAUCACAUCCUGGGGCUGAAGUAGGUCCCAAGGGUAUGGCUGUUCGCCAUUUAAAGUGGUACGCGAGCUGGGUUUAGAACGUCGUGAGACAGUUCGGUCCCUAUCUGCCGUGGGCGCUGGAGAACUGAGGGGGGCUGCUCCUAGUACGAGAGGACCGGAGUGGACGCAUCACUGGUGUUCGGGUUGUCAUGCCAAUGGCACUGCCCGGUAGCUAAAUGCGGAAGAGAUAAGUGCUGAAAGCAUCUAAGCACGAAACUUGCCCCGAGAUGAGUUCUCCCUGACUCCCUGAG
rnacentral:rRNA from 1 species